GAUGAACGCUGGCGGCGUGCCUAAUACAUGCCAGUCGAGCGAACGGACGAGAAGCUUGCUUCUCUGAUGUUAGCGGCGGACGGGUGAGUAACACGUGGAUAACCUACCUAUAAGACUGGGAUAACUUCGGGAAACCGGAGCUAAUACCGGAUGAUAUUUUGAACCGCAUGGUUCAAAAGUGAAAGACGGUCUUGCUGUCACUUAUAGAUGGAUCCGCGCUGCAUUAGCUAGUUGGUAAGGUAACGGCUUACCAAGGCAACGAUGCAUAGCCGACCUGAGAGGGGGAGCGGCCAAACGGGAACGGAGAAACGGGCAAGAAUGCUACGGGAGGGAGGAAGAGGGAAUAUUCCGCAAUGGGCGAAAGGAUUGAGGAACACAGAAGCGAGAGAAAAGAAGGUAUUCAGAUAGUAAAACUCUUUUUGUAGGUAAGAAAAAAGGUGGAAGGAAAUAUGCACGUCCUGAAGGGACCUAAUCAGAAAGACACGGGACAACAAGGG
rnacentral:rRNA from 1 species